rnacentral:lncRNA from 1 species
UAAAAUUUACAAAAUAUUAAAAAAUAUUAUAAAAAAGCAUACAGAUCAUAAAACUGAUUAAAAUAUAUGAAAAUUUAUAAUAAAAAAAACAUUUUUUAUUUGUACACUAACAAUCAUUAACACUAAAACACCUAUUAAAAAUUCUAAAAUAGUUAUUUGAUCCAUGAAGCAUACAUGUCCAUUGCAAUGCAAACUAAAGAGGGAAAAAU